rnacentral:miRNA from 1 species
UGUUAUAUAUGUGUUUGG